AUGGCAGGGAUGGUGUGGUGUGUAUCGGUGUUGUUGAAUGCACUUUUCCCGAAAGAGUCCCCUGCAACAUUGAAUUGGGGAAGAUGGGCAGUUGGCUAUCAUCCCUCAUUGAUACGUCAACAAACAUUUCCCCAAUUCU
rnacentral:snoRNA from 1 species